rnacentral:rRNA from 1 species
AACGAACGCUGGCGGCGCGCCUAAUACAUGCAAGUCGAGCGAGAAGACGUAGCAAUACGUUUGUAAAGCGGCGAACGGGUGAGGAAUACAUCGGGUAACCUACCCUCGAGUGGGGAAUAACUAGCCGAAAGGUUAGCUAAUACCGCGUACGCUCCUUGGACUUCGGUUCAGGGAGGAAAGCGAUACCGUGGGUAUCGCGCUCUUGGAUGGGCUCAUGUCCUAUCAGCUUGUUGGUGAGGAACGGCUCACCAAGGCUUCGACGGGUAGCUGGUCUGAGAGGACGAUCAGCCACACUGGCACUGCGACACGGGCCAGACUCCUACGGGAGGCAGCAGUAAGGAAUAUUGCGCAAUGGGCGAAAGCCUGACGCAGCGACGCCGCGUGGGGGA